CUCUUUCCCAGAUUACGGCCAUACCUUUCUUCCAUUUCGCCGCUCCGGAAUGAGCAAUUCGCCUGCACCACGAAUUGCACAAGCCCUCAUUCUGAAAUCGAAGCAGUUGAUUAGAGAGAAAUAAAGGAUUUUCGUCGAUUUGUGCAACGAUUUCAAUCUCGUUAACUGGGAAUUAUAUCCAGCGUGAUGUUAGGAUGGCCAAGAACAUAAGAAUUGAUGUGACGGAAGAGAACAGAGCUAAAGCAUCUGCGACUGCAAAGACAAUGAACGAAUUGCUGUUCAAAAGAAUAGGAAGGCCGUUGACGGUGUUUCUCUUAGCAUCAUUAUAGUUGCCACCAGGUACAGUAAAAGCUGCAGCAAAUGCUACUAUAGAGAUAAGGGUUGCUACUAAGAUACAUGAAUGUGAGUUGAAGAAACUCAAAUGAGUAAAGCAGGAUCCUGAUGGAAAUAGGAGAGAUGAAUGAAGAUAAAAGAAUAUAAACAGCAACAGCAAGAGAACAAGAUAAUAAGAUUCUGAAGUCCACUAAGAUGGCAAAAACAAAAAAGAUUGGUUCUUUUUGUUUUUUGUAUCUUUUUCUUCCACUACCUUCAAUAAUUCGUUGAUGGUGAAUGCUUUGUACUGCAGACCAAAGAUUGUCUAAUUCGAUUUUGGGUAGGCAGAUGCAAGUUAAACGUAAUACAAGUCCGAAAGCACAGAAGGCAGUAUGAUCCACCCACCUAAAUUAUCACUUGCAUUCAAAACAAGUGGACCUUUCUCAAUCUUCUCUAAAGGGAUUAUAAGGCGCAGGAUCUUAGAUUGCCCAACAAUGCGGGUCUGAUAAUCUCAACACGCCCCAUCACGUGUAGCCUCGUUUGGUCUGGGUGUGCGGAGUAAAGGCGAGGUCAGAUGAUUGUCGCGAAUAGCGGUCUGGGUGUGCGGAGUAAAGGCGAGGUCAGAUGAUUGUCGCGAAUAGCGUGCUCUGGUACUAUGUUAGAUUACGGGCAUCCAACUCAUAACCAAUUGGCAAUGAAUGGAGAGGCCCCAAGGGAUUAUAAACCGCAGGAUUUUAGAUUGCCCAACAAUGUGGGACUAAUAAUCUCAACAAAUAUUGAUAUUCUAUUAUACUUUCAUGUUAUAAUUUUAGUGGACAUACUAAAUAGGAUACAGUAGAACUUCGAUAAAUAGGUCAGUUUAAUAACAGAAAGAUUAUUGAAAGAUUAUUUCAUGAAAUAUUGAAAGAUUAUUUCAUGUUAUACUUUCAUGA